GACGAACGCUGGCGGCGUGCUUAACACAUGCAAGUCGAACGGUGAAGCGCCUUCCUUUUUGGUGGGUGUGGAUGAGUGGCGAACGGGUGAGUAACACGUGAGUAACCUGCCCCCUUCUUCUGGAUAACCGCAUGAAAGUGUGGCUAAUACGGGAUAUUCUGGGUCUGUCGCAUGAUGGGUCUGGGAAAGAUAUUGUUUCGGUGGGGGAUGGGCUCGCGGCCUAUCAGCUUGUUGGUGGGGUGAUGGCCUACCAAGGCGGUGACGGGUAGCCGGCCUGAGAGGGUGGACGGUCACACGGGGACUGAGGCACGGCCCAGACUCCUACGGGAGGCAGCAGUGGGGAAUAUUGCACAAUGGGCGCAAGCCUGAUGCAGCGACGCCGCGUGAGGGAUGGAGGCCUUCGGGUUGUGAACCUCUUUCGCCAGUGAAGCAGGCCUGCCUCGUUUGUGGGUGGGUUGACGGUAGCUGGAUAAGAAGCGCCGGCUAACUACGUG
rnacentral:rRNA from 1 species